UACAGAGGGUGCGAGCGUUAAUCGGAAUUACUGGGCGUAAAGCGCACGUAGGCGGCUUAGCAAGUUGGAUGUGAAAGCCCUCGGCUUAACCAAGGAAGUGCAUCCAAAACUGCUGAGCUUGAGUAGUUAAGAGGAUCGCGGAAUUCCCGGUGUAGAGGUGAAAUUCGUAGAUAUCGGGAGGAACACCAGUGGCGAAGGCGGCGAUCUGGGAACAUACUGACGCUGAGGUGCGAAAGCGUGGGGAGCAAACAGG
rnacentral:rRNA from 1 species